AAAUGAAUUGACGGGAGCCCGCACAAGCAGUGGAGUAUGUGGUUUAAUUCGAUGCAACGCGAAGAACCUUACCAGAACUUGACAUCCUGAGAAGACCGAUGUAAUGUUGGUUGUGCCCCUUCGGGGGAAUUCAGUGACAGGUGGUGCAUGGUUGUCGUCAGCUCGUGUCGUGAGAUGUUGGGUUAAGUCCCGCAACGAGCGCAACCCUUACCUUUAGUUGCUACGCAAGAGCACUCUAGAGGGACUGCCGUUGACAAAACGGAGGAAGGUGGGGAUGACGUCAAAUCAUCAUGCCCCUUACGUUCUGGGCUACACACGUACUACAAUGGCGCAAACAAAGGGAAGCAAUGCCGCGAGGCGGAGCAAACCCCAUAAAAGGCGUCCCAGUUCAGAUUGCAGGCUGCAACUCGCCUGCAUGAAGUUGGAAUUGCUAGUAAUCGCGGAUCAGCAUGCCGCGGUGAAUACGUUCCCGGGCUUUGUACACACCGCCCGU
rnacentral:rRNA from 1 species